UGUUUUGAAAAGUUCAAAAAAUCGUAAAAAGUGACCAAAUCGUUGGUCGAGCCGACGAUAAUCACGAUAGUGUACCGCAUUUUCACUGCAGCAAUAUGUCGAAGUGCAACGUCCCGCGAUGCCGGAGCUGAAAAAUUUUGAAGAAAAUCGGAUAACUUUCCACCAUUUUCCGACCAACAAAUUGUUGAGACGGAAAUGGUUAAACUUUUUCGAAUACAAAAGCUCGUUCGAUACGCGAAACAUAUUUGUUUGUUCGCUUCAUUUUUCGCCGGAUUCUUUUGGGGAUACUGUUUUAACCUAUAAUCAGCAAAGAAGACGUCUUCGUACUGGAGCUGUUCCAUGCAUUUGCUUCUUGGAUCUUCCAAAACGUUCCGUUUCAAUGGUUUCACACGAAAUUCCAAAUUUAUACAUUCACUUCUUGCGAAAGUGCAAAAUAUUUAUUUGCAAUCACUUCGGAAGAUGAUCCGGG